rnacentral:rRNA from 1 species
AUGCUCUUCAUUCUCUUGCUGGCAGCUUAUUUCAUGGUGUUCAUCAUCAUGAUGGUCUUUGGCACCUGUUUGGUUACAGCGGCAGCACCCGUUGCAUUCGUCGUUGGGGAUCGAUGUAACUCAGAUGCCAACUGCAAGUCGGGACUAUCUUGCCGCAAAUGGACUGGAACUGGAUGCAACCGUAAAAGAUGUGUCCGGACAACAGUCGCUAGCCCGUUCGACACAGUUGACAACUCACUGCCAUUCAACAAGUAUGCGUUCCUCACGACGCACAACUCAUUCUCAAUAACAGAUAUCCCAACCUUCACAUUGUUCAACCAGGAAGAUUCGGUCAACGAUCAACUGAAUAAUGGCGUUAGAGCACUGAUGCUAGAUCUAUAUGACUUCCGGGAAGACAUAUGGUUGUGCCAUUCAUACGGAGGAACGUGCAAGGACGCCACCGCCUUUGAGCCCGCCAUAGGUACCAUGAGAGAAAUAGAGGCCUUUCUUGUAAUGAACCCAUCAGAGGUGGUGACACUCAUCCUCGAGGACUAUGUCAAGUCUCACCGUGGCCUCUCCAAGCUGUUUAUCAAGACAGGCCUCACCAAGUACUGGUUUCCGGCAUCGAGGAUGCCACAGAACGGGGAGGACUGGCCCCGUGUCAGCGACAUGAUCAGGCUGAACCGGCGUCUCGUUGUCUUCACCUCCAACCGAUUCAAGGAGUCAAGUGAAGGAAUUGCCUACCAAUGGAACUAUAUGGUCGAAAACAUGUAUGGUGAUGUCGGAAUGGACUCUCGUGUCUGCCGCAAUCGCUCGGAAUCGGCUGUCCUAAGCGACAGAAGUAAAUCAUUGGUUCUUGUGAACUAUUUCCGCUCGCGGCCGGUCCAAGGGUCAACAUGUAUGGAGCACUCGCGAGGGCUCGUGGAGGUGCUCCACACAUGCCACGCUGCUGCCGGCAACCGUUGGGCUAACUUCUUGGCUGUGGAUUACAAGAGAAGCAAUGGUGGGGGCGUCUUCCAAGCUGUGGACAUGCUCAAUGGGAUGCUAAUCUGCGGCCACGAUGAUGUGCAUGCUUGCAGCGGGUGGACAAGUCCACCCUUGUUCUUGUUUCCUUUCCUUCGUGGCUUGUUCUUGAAGCCUGCUGCCUACUUGUGGCGGGCUGUUCUGUUGUAG